rnacentral:lncRNA from 1 species
GAGGAGUCACGAGGAGGGCGGCCCGGCCGCGCCUCUAGCCCCGGCUCGGGCCCUCAGCCCUCCGCCCCGGCCCGCAUACAACGCUGUCUGCACCGCUCCCCUGCCUUCUUCCGGGCUCCCAGAGCACCGCUAUGGAGAUGCUCUCCCGGCAUUUGAGGAAGAAUUGAUUGUCCUCAUCCUGCAACUGUACUUGCCCAACCGAUAUUUAUUGAUGCCUGCAGUGUCCUGGGUGCCUACCAAGGGGCACAGAACUGGAUCCGACGCAGACCCUGCCUGCCUUCAGGUUGCUUGAAGAUGAACAGAGAGAUCGGACCUCUGCAUGAAGCCAGACUGCUCAUCAUUCCAGACAUCUUCAGCUGCUACACCCAGAACAAGCAUUCGAAAUAUGAACAGGAUGGUGAGCCAGAUCUUUCCAAUCAUGGUGGAGUGGAUGUGAACUUCCUCCAGAGUAUCUCCAAGGAGAUUCCAGUCCCCCAUGUUUAUUUAGUCAGCCAUCUUAGCUCUGAUCCACAUCAAAUAAGAGGCAGAUAAAUUCUUCCAUUCUGAAGGGAGCACUAUUUCUUAAAGCAAACCUAUGGUGAAAAUAUAACAAUAUGUCACUUCUA